AGAUUGAACGCUGGCGGCAUGCCUAACACAUGCAAGUCGCACGGUCAGCAAUGGCAGUGGCGGACGGGUGAGUAACACGUAGGAAUCUAUCCUGGGGUGGGGGAUAACAGUGGGAAACUACUGCUAAUACCGCAUGAUACCUGAGGGUCAAAGGCGCGAGUCGCCUUGGGAGGAGCCUGCGUCUGAUUAGCUUGUUGGUGGGGUAAAGGCCUACCAAGGCGACGAUCAGUAGCUGGUCUGAGAGGAUGAUCAGCCACAUUGGGACUGAGACACGGCCCAAACUCCUACGGGCGGCAGC
rnacentral:rRNA from 1 species